rnacentral:rRNA from 1 species
UACGUAGGGUGCAAGCGUUGUCCGGAAUUAUUGGGCGUAAAGAGCUCGUAGGCGGUCUGUCACGUCGGCUGUGAAAACCCGAGGCUCAACCUCGGGCCUGCAGUCGAUACGGGCAAACUAGAGUACUGCAGGGGAGACUGGAAUUCCUGGUGUAGCGGUGAAAUGCGCAGAUAUCAGGAGGAACACCGGUGGCGAAGGCGGGUCUCUGGGCAGUAACUGACGCUGAGGAGUGAAAGCGUGGGGAGCGAACAGG